AUUACCUUUUAAUACUUUAUUUUGAUAUUCUGGCCUGCAGAGUCAUUGGCCAUUGACGGAUUCAUUCAUUAUCACUUAUUGUGACUUCUGUGUUCCAUUGCCAUGGCUAAGCGCCAGGAACUCGGUGGUGAAGGGGUCUGCCUUAAUGUCAUGGCUUGCACUGUGGAAAAAACAAGCAACAGACAGAUAUACGAUGAAAUCUAUAAUCAUACAUUUUGAACCAUGCUAUGAAAGAAUUAGAAGAUGGACAAAGCAAUGCUGACCUCCCUGGGAAGACAAAACAAAGGAGUGUGCAUUUAGCGAGUCUGAGGCAUACACCCGGGGCUCAAACAAUAAUUGUUAUCAUCACCACUUGGAGACACAAGAGGCACAGUUGUAUGACCUCGUUCUAAGUAGAAAUGAUGAAACGAUCAUCAACUAAAAUAACUAAAUAUAAGCAACCGUAUCUUUAAUGAAGUUUUUCUUAAGCCACUAACAUGGCUUGAGCUGUAAACCUAUUGUACACUCAUUUAGGCUUGUCAUUUACAUGUCCCACCACGCUAUGUUAAACAGAAAAGGUGUUGGGAAUCAAGUAAAUUAGUCAGCAAGGCAGGUGUUAAUUGGCCUUUUUACUCAGUAUGAGAAUUCUAAAUGGCUUCUAUGUAUUAUUAAGCCAAAUUCUUACCUUCCCAACUUUGGCCAUUGACUGUUAAUUCUAUCUUUUUUGCUUUAGGGGACUUACAUAAAACAAUGCAAAACAUUUGCAAACAGAUUCAAAAACUGGAGGUUAACCUUCCUUCAGUAAGUCUUUAUUGACGGCCAUGAAUAUCAAAAAGAUGAUCAAACUGAUUUAUUUUCUGCCUUGGGAUGUCCAAACACCCAGGUGAAUGUAUUUAUGAGCCCAGCAUUCUGGGCUUGUGUUUCUGAUGAGCUUACAAGAAACUCUUACAAGCUGGGAACUUGAUAUAUAACUAAUCGAGAAAAUGUAAGGCACAAAUGUGGGUGGUUUACAGUUGCACAGUCUCUUACAAUGAAGCAAAUGCCAAAUAAAGACUCAGGCCCAGAGGCAUCAUAUGGAAACACCAAUCCAAGACUCAGAAGGCUGCACAUUUCAUCUUGGCUCAACGCUUACUGAGCAUUUACAUUGCACAAGGUGGUGGAAUUAAAUACUUAUUUACUGUAUCGAUAUAUGUGCAUGUAAUAUGCACACGCAGUUUUAGAAAGUGCCAGGCGUCCGGGUCAGGAUGUUCCAAUCGCUUUGAACUAAAUCCCUUUUCCAUAAUGAAGCCAUGCAAAAAAUUUCAACAAUGGUUAAGAUUACCCAUAACCAGUUACUCUGACAGGACUCAUUGCUAUUUCGUGGGAGAUGUUAAGAACAUUGUCUCCGUAAUAAAAUAUGAUGUUAUCAGA